UACGGGAGGCAGCAGUGGGGAAUAUUGGACAAUGGGCGAAAGCCUGAUCCAGCCAUGCCGCGUGUGUGAAGAAGGUCUUCGGAUUGUAAAGCACUUUAAGUUGGGAGGAAGGGCAGUAAGUUAAUACCUUGCUGUUUUGACGUUACCAACAGAAUAAGCACCGGCUAACUUCGUGCCAGCAGCCGCGGUAAUACGGAGGGGUGCAAGCGUUAAUCGGAAUUACUGGGCGUAAAGCGCGCGUAGGUGGGUUCAGCAAGUUGGAUGUGAAAUCCCCGGGCUCAACCUGGGAACUGCAUCCAAAACUACUGAGCUAGAGUACGGUAGAGGGUGGUGGAAUUUCCUGUGUGGCGGUGAAAUGCGUAGAUAUAGGAAGGAACACCAGUGGCGAAGGCGACCACCUGGACUGAUACUGACACUGAGGUGCGAAAG
rnacentral:rRNA from 1 species